GAAAUGCGAUACUUGGUGUGAAUUGCAGAAUCCCGUGAACCAUCGAGUCUUUGAACGCAAGUUGCGCCCGAAGCCUCUCGGCUGAGGGCACGUCUGCCUGGGCGUCACGCAUCACGUCACCCCCCCAAUCUCGUCCACAUGGG
rnacentral:rRNA from 1 species